AGCGAACGCUGGCGGCAGACUUAACACAUGCAAGUCGAACGCCCCGCAAGGGGAGUGGCAGACGGGUGAGUAACACGUGGGAACGUACCCUUUGGUUCGGAAUAACUUGGGGAAACUCAAGCUAAUACCGGAUAAGCCCUUAUGGGGAAAGGUUUACUGCCGAAGGAUCGGCCCGCGUCUGAUUAGCUAGUUGGUGAGGUAAUGGCUCACCAAGGCGACGAUCAGUAGCUGGUCUGAGAGGAUGAUCAGCCACACUGGGACUGAGACACGGCCCAGACUCCUACGGGAGGCAGCGGUGGGGAAUACUGGACAAUGGGGGCAACCCUGAUCCAGCCAUGCCGCGUGAGUGAUGAAGGCCUUAGGGUUGUAGAGCUCUUUUACCCGGGACGAUAAUGACUGUACCGGGAGAAUAAGCCCCGGCUAACUUCGUGCCAGCCGCCGCAGUAA
rnacentral:rRNA from 1 species